rnacentral:rRNA from 1 species
UACGGAGGAUCCGAGCGUUAUCCGGAUUUAUUGGGUUUAAAGGGUGCUCAGGCGGGCCAUUAAGUCGGCGGUGAAAUUUUGCGGCUCAACCGUAAAAGUGCCUUCGAUACUGGUGGUCUUGAGUGUGGAUGAGGUAGGCGGAAUUUGUGGUGUAGCGGUGAAAUGCAUAGAUAUCACGAGGAACUCCGAUUGCUAAGGCAGCUUACUAAGCCAUAACUGACGCUCAAGCACGAAGGCGUGGGGAUCAAACAGGAUUAGAUACCCGGGUAGU